rnacentral:rRNA from 1 species
GGGCGAAGCCUGAUCCGCCAUGCCGCGGUGUGUGAAGAAGGUCUUCGGAUUGUAAAGCACUUUAAGUUGGGAGGAAGGGCAGUAAGUUAAUACCUUGCUGUUUUGACGUUACCAACAGAAUAAGCACCGGCUAACUUCGUGCCAGCAGCCGCGGUAAUACGAAGGGUGCAAGCGUUAAUCGGAAUUACUGGGCGUAAAGCGCGCGUAGGUGGUUCAGCAAGUUGGAUGUGAAAUCCCCGGGCUCAACCUGGGAACUGCAUCCAAAACUACUGAGCUAGAGUACGGUAGAGGGUGGUGGAAUUUCCUGUGU